UACGUAGGGGGCAAGCGUUGUCCGGAUUUAUUGGGCGUAAAGAGCGUGUAGGCGGUUUGGUAGGUCCGCUGUGAAAACUCCGAGGCUCAACCUCGAGACGCCGGUGGAAACCAUCAGACUAGAGUCCGGAAGAGGAGAGUGGAAUUCCUGGUGUAGCGGUGAAAUGCGCAGAUAUCAGGAAGAACACCCGUGGCUAAGGCGGCUCUCUAGCACGGUACUGACGCUGAGACGCGAAAGCCGUGGGGAGCGAACAGG
rnacentral:rRNA from 1 species